rnacentral:siRNA from 1 species
CAUAAUGGAAGAGUUGCCUUCU